CCCCUCUCAGGAUCACAACUGAAGAAUUUCCAGGACUCUACCAGUCUCGACUACGGGAGGGUGAGUCAAGCAGAGGCAUUCCCAUUCCAAUCCUAGCUUGGGCAGUGGCUAGAGAGUGGAAGGCAAUCUGCUACAUGU
rnacentral:snoRNA from 1 species